UUCUCCCCAAGGCCUGUCCCACAAAUCCAGGCCCCAGACCAAGCAUGCGUGAACUCACACUGCAUAGACUCUGGACUUCUCAUACCCUGGGCUGAGAGCGAAGCAAUCCAGUUUAUUUAUGCAUAGUUGUCUUUAAGAGAAGAGCCACCCUUGAAUCUUCUUCGGUCAGGAAUCAAAGAGCAAAUGGAAAGAAGCCUGUAGGAAUUCAGUUACUGUGCAACUGCUUUUUGUGAGCUGAUGAUGCUGAAGCUCUCCGGAUAUAGCCCAGCCCCCUCCUGACUCAGAGUAUCCUUCCUUUAAUGCCCUGCUGUCAGAAAAAGUUGCUGAAUCCCGUGUGACAACAGAAGCCUUUAUUGUCUUGGGAGUUCCAGUCUACCUCCAUCACCUGUCCCCUUACUUGCUGGUCAGUGAGGAAGACAUGGAAGAGAAAAUCAACUGCCUCCCACAACGAAGCUGGAAAGGCCCCUUUUCUGGCUUCCUUUACACAUAGGGCCAGACUCUACCGAGCAGAUCACAAGCCCUGGAUUUUCCUUUAGAAACUGGAGGCACGAAGUGAAACUCAGGCCCCAUUCAGGCAGCAAUGGUGGUGAGAGUUAUGGCUGCCAUGCCCAGUGUUUAAGAUUGAUGAUGGAAAGAAAAAAAGACAUUGGCCACAAGUUAGAGACCUGAAGUUUGCAGGAGGAGCAGGAAGGCCCAACAACCAUCCCAUAACGAAGACAUUGUAAAAAGCAACAAGGGUUGUCAAGUCACGACAAUGCAUGGAGGAACCCUAAAAUCACUAAGUGAAAAGAGCCAUAUAAAAAGGAGUCAUUCUGUAUGAUUUCAACUAUCUAUACUCUGGAAGAGGGAAUAUGGUGGAGACAGUAAAAAUGAUCCGUGGUUGCCAGGAGUUGAGGGGUGAGAGGGAUGAACAGGUAGAGCAAAGAGGAAUUUUAAGACAGUGAAACCACUCUGUAUGAUAAUGGAAUGAUGGAUACAAGUCGUUAUACAUUUGUCAAAAUCUAUAGAGUGGAUAACACCAAGAAUUCAUCCUAAUGUAAAUUAUGGACUGUGGAUGAUAAUGAUGCAUCAAUGUAGCUUUAUUGUCAUAACAAAUGCACCGUUCUAGUGGGGGAUGUUGAUACUAAGGCCAGGGGGAAUGUAGGAAAUCUUUAUACCUCUGCUUGAUUUUGCUGUGAACCCAAACUGACUCUAAAAAAUAAAGUCUUUAGGGGCAUCUGGGUUGCUCAGUUGGUUAAGUGUCCAACU
ensembl:lncRNA